CUGACUGGGAAUUGAACCAGUGGCCCUUUAGUUUGUAGGCCGGCACUCAGUCCACUGAGCCACACCAGCCAGGGCUUAAAUUCAUAAUUUAAACAUUAGAAUAGAGAACAAGAAUGUGUUCUCUUUAUGUAGUACAAGUUUUGUUGGUCCUGGAUUUUUAAAAAUUCCCUUGAACACAAGACCCACCAGUUUCUGGGAUCUCUAAGGCACAGAAGUGAUCACUAUGUGGGAAAGGAAGCUGAUUUGGCCCUGCCUUAAAAAAAAAAUUCUAUGGUUCACUGCAGGCCCAAAGAUGUGGUUUCCUCACCGUCCCAAAUCUUCAAGUUAUUGUGACCUUUAGACUGACUUAAGUAGUAGAAGUGAUGGGACAAACAUACUGAAAAUCCCAGGUGUGUCCAUGGUGACUCUAUCCUGGUGAGGCUGGGUCCUGUUUUUUGAUAGACCCUUGGUGGUGUCUUAUGGGUCCAAGGUUUAGUCUUUAGCUCUGCAGUUCCACAUUUUACCAGUGUGCCUGAAAUAACUCCUUAUCAACCUUCUUAGUGACAGGUUUAAACUAGACACUAUCUUAUUUACCACGGAAGGAUCUAUCUUUCUGAUGACCUGAAUACUUGUGUCCACUAUUGGGACACUCCUUUCUCAGUAUCAAGGUUCGUAAAAAAAAUUGAGGGCUGUGUAAUGAGCAAAGAAUUAAAAUGAAAGAAAAGAAAGUAAAAGAGAAAAAAACAAAAAAGAUUUUUAAAAAAAACGUGGGAGGAAAAGAAAGAAUUAAAAUGAAAAAAAAAAUGCGAUGGUCUUGAGGAGUAUUUACUUCAGACUUUGAAAUACCACAUGGAAUUCUGGAGUCUGACAGAAACUUUGUAAUACUUUUUUACUUUUCUCUUCUACUAAUUCCUAUCUCUGAAAUGUGUCACCUAGGAUCACCUAACCAUUGUCUCUGUUUUAAUUCCCACUCUAUAUUCUUAAAUUUCAAUUUACUGUUUGAAAAAGGUAGCACUUGCACAUGGUUCAAAAUUCCAAAGUCUAAAAGGGAAUGUGUACUGUGGAAAGUUGUGCUCCUGCCCCUGAUUCCCUCACCACCCUUUUCCCUUCCUGGAAAUAACCACUACAGGUAAUUUCUUAUGUGUCUUUUAGGAGAUAAUCUAUGCAUAGACCAGCAACUGCAUUUAAAUAUAGUCCUAUGCAGUGCUUUUGUGCAAACAGUAGGUGUAAUCCACCCUUCAUGGCACCUGGCAUUUUUCAAUUAAUAGUAUAACACGGAUAACCUGAAGAUUUGCAACAUCGAGGGGCUUCUUCAUUCUUUCCCUUGAAUUUUCUAAGGCUAUGCCUGGGCUACUUGUUUAAGUUGAACGACAUGCUGAAGUGAUUUGGAGACAUCUGAUCUCAUUAAAGGCAUCUUAGAAUAUGUCCCAGGCCCAUCCAUAGCACUAGAAGCCCACCUUUCAAGAGGCAAAGAAGCAGAGGAAUAGAAGGAGCAGUAGACUUGAUGUCAAAAUAGCCAUUUAAACUCCUUCACUCUGCUUAUUUUAGCUUUGUGACCUUCAGCACGCCAACGAACAUUGUCAGUUUAAGUUUCCUCCUUUGAAAAUAAAAGUGCUUUGUAAAUAAAAGUGUUACACAGAUGUAAGCAUUAUUUAUUAUUAACAUUGCUGAUCGUAUUUAUUUUAUCGUGAUUUUAUUCAUUUCCCUUUCUGACUUUAUACCCUUAAACACUCUAAUUCCUGGAAGCCACAGUUAUGAUGACUCACCCAAUAAUUCCCCAGUCCUUAAGCCAAACCAUUUCCUACACGUGGGGGUGCUGGCGUUUUUGCCCUUGUGCUUCACGAACCCUUGAGGAUGGCCUCCGGGUGCUUCCUGACUCUCUCACACUUGUGUGGAAGAUUGGACCAGGGGAUCUUUGUGUUGGGAUUUCCUAAUAGUAGUCCUAAUUAACUAAUCUUUGUGUUGGGAUUUCCUAAUAGUAGUCCUAAUUUUCUAAUAGUAGUCCUAGUUAGCUCCGGUAAAUUGAUCUAGCUUGGCUUUACAUUUGUUUUCUGUUGGUAGCUAACUCAUUCCUUGUUAAACAUCGUUCCUUAGAACAUAAACUUUCCUAUCAAUUUUUAAUUAUUUUAGCUGUAUCUAUGGCACCUUUUGAGAGGCUAAAAAAAUCCCAUCCAAUCUAGACAACAGAAAGAGUUUUGCUUUCACCUUUAGUCCAACAGCCUUCUCCAGCCAGGAUCAAAUAGCUUUCUGGGGUUUUACAGCUAGUACAACUGAAUUCUGACAGUUUUGGUCGGCUUGACACAGUUUUACUGAAAGUAACUUGUCCAAUUCCCUAUUAGGUUGUCUUUUAAUAUCAACGUGUUAAACCUGUUCCCUGGGAGAUACCUUCCUAUUUGUUCUCCUUGUACUUGAAAUAUCCUGUGGCAGUGGGACAGAGAUGACAAAAUGCCAUGACUUUUAGGGGGAA